CCCUUAGAUGUUCUGGGCUGCACGCGCGCUACACUGAUGCGCUCAACGAGUUUUAACCUUGCCUGGAAAGGUUGGGUAAUCUUUUUAAAACGCAUCGUGAUGGGGAUAGAUUAUUGCAAUUAUUAAUCUUCAACGAGGAAUGCCUAGUAAACGCAAGUCAUCAGCUUGCAUUGAUUACGUCCCUGCCCUUUGUACACACCGCCCGUCGCUCCUACCGAUUGAAUGAUCCGAUGAAUAUCAUGGAUUGAGGAUGCAAGUAGGUUAGCCUAUCUUCAUCUUCGAGAAGUGAAGUAAAUCUUAUCAUUUAGAGGAAGGAGAAGUCGUAACA
rnacentral:rRNA from 1 species